GCCCUUGCGGAGCAGUCCGGAAUGCUCGCCGCUUUGUCAGAGCGGAGGUCGCAGGUUCAAAUCCUGUCUGGGGCG
rnacentral:tRNA from 1 species